GGGCCGGUAGUCUAGAGGAUUAUGACGUAGGCCUGCGGAGCCUAUGGUCGUGGGUUCAAAUCCCACCCGGCCCG
rnacentral:tRNA from 1 species